rnacentral:rRNA from 1 species
GAUGAACGCUAGCGAUAGGCUUAACACAUGCCAGUCGAGGGGCAGCAUGGUCUUAGCUUGCUAAGACUGAUGGCGGCCGGCGCACGGGUGCGUAACGCGUAUGCAACUUGCCUCACAGAGGGGGAUAACCCGUCGAAAGACGGACUAAUACCGCGUACACUCCAUCUUGGGCAUCCAAGGUAGAGGAAAUGAAAUUCGCUGUGAGAUAGGCAUGCGUCCCAUUAGCUAGUUGGUGAGGUAACGGCUCACCAAGGCGACGAUGGGUAGGGGAACUGAGAGGUUGAACCCCCACACUGGUACUGAGACACGGACCAGACUCCUACGGGAGGCAGCAGUGAGGAAUAUUGGUCAAUGGGCGAGAGCCUGAACCAGCCAAGUCGCGUGAAGGAUGACUGUCUUAUGGAUUGUAAACUUCUUUUAUACGGGAAUAACAAGAGUCACGUGUGACUCCCUGCAUGUACCGUAUGAAUAAGCAUCGGCUAACUCCGUG